UUAUUUAAAGAGCACCAAUUAUGCUAAUAAAUGAGCACGUUAGCACGUUAUUGUAAUAUCCCAUAGUACAUACAUGUUAUUAAAACUUGAACUAAUGCACUGUGAGUCUUAUAAAUUGCUUACAUACCUCACCGAUUUCCCACUGUCUGGAAAACGCUCGGUUUAGUUCCUGUCUCCGCCUCCCAAAAUGUCUUGUGUAUUCGGAUUGGUCAGAUGACUACUCAACUGUUAUUGGUCAACUGGGUUCGGCGUGUGUUUGAAAGGUUACGCCCCUGACUACGCGUGGGUUUUCCGGUUCUGACUGAGAGUCACAGGCAACGUAAACAAGCGCUAUAUUUCUCUAUAAACGAUGGUGUCUGUACUGCCUUACCACUUCAAGCUCGAUCCAGAGAGUUCAGACGGCGUUACGAUAUAAACGAUCUCCGUCAAUUAACGCGAUUGGAUUUAACUUUUUUAGGUGUCCUUAGCUCUGCCAGAAUGCUAAACGAAGACGAAAAUGUGUUGCAAAGACAUCCAAAAGGUUUUAAGGAGAAUGCAACAGGUUCCAGGGCCUCUUACCUGCGUGAUUCAUCAUCCAGAUACGCUUGGAGCUUCCUGAUCAGAUCGGUCACAAUUUUGGCUUUCGAUGACCCCUGCACUGAAGAUGGCAUGCAAUCACGUCCUCCUUUGAAGGUCUCUCAAACUGUGAUGCCAGGUCCAUUGGAAUCGGGGUUUCCUUCAGCUUAUCUUCAAAUACCUCAUCAAACACAAGCCUGAUCACAUCCUCCACAUAACUGUAGAAAUAUU